ensembl:misc_RNA
AAUUUCACACCUGGAUGUGCUCACUCAACCAAGAAUAUAGAGAAAGAGCUUCUGCCCUGAGACUCAGAAAAAUAUUCUCCUGUGCUUCGGUUCAGUAUAGAUUUCUAGACUCUGAUCAUUGCUUAAGAGAUAUUCACUGAGG